rnacentral:rRNA from 1 species
GAUGAACGCUGGCGGCGUGCCUAAUACAUGCAAGUCGAGCGAACGGACGAGAAGCUUGCUUCUCUGAUGUUAGCGGCGGACGGGUGAGUAACACGUGGAUAACCUACCUAUAAGACUGGGAUAACUUCGGGAAACCGGAGCUAAUACCGGAUAAUAUUUUGAACCGCAUGGUUCAAAAGUGAAAGACGGUCUUGCUGUCACUUAUAGAUGGAUCCGCGCUGCAUUAGCUAGUUGGUAAGGUAACGGCUUACCAAGGCAACGAUGCAUAGCCGACCUGAGAGGGCGAUCGGCCACCCUGGAACUGAGACACGGUCCAGACUCCUACGGGAGGCAGCAGUAGGGAAUCUUCCGCAAUGGGCGAAAGCCUGACGGAGCAACGCCGCGUGAGUGAUGAAGGUCUUCGGAUCGUAAAACUCUGUUAUUAGGGAAGAACAUAUGUGUAAGUAACUGUGCACAUCUUGACGGUACCUAAUCAGAAAGCCACGGCUAACUACGUG